UGUCAGCCUGCUGCUUCCAGGUUGGACCGGCUGAGCGCAGCCUCAGGCUGAUCAGCACUGAACUGGUCUUCAAGCUAAGUUCAGCCUCAAAUGCUGCUUUAUUGCUGAGGGUAGCAUUAUACACUCCACCGCGCAGUGAUUCCCUAAUUGCAGCAUCCAAUGCUGUUUGGCUGCGUCUUUUGGCCCUAAUUGUAAGCCAGGUCAAAGGUCGUACAUGUUUAUGCUGCUCAAUCGUCCUCCUGAGCUGCAGGAGCAGAUGCCACUGGAGUCUCCCCAUGACGAACGGGCGUUGGCUACCACCGGUGUGCCGCUGGGUGUGGCCAACAGACAUCAGGACUUUGUCCUGAGUCUGGGGGAUUGUGUGCAGGCUAUGACGUGUCCCAUCCCUAAUUUAUUUGUGGUGUUGUAACUGGUGUUUUAAAGGGUCUUUGCAUGGGUACUUUAAUCACUUUUUGUAUUAAAGAUUUGUAUAUUGUAAA